UAUGUUAACCGCGAAAAUAAAAUAAAAUAAAUUGAUGCCCGCCCAACUAAAAUUUUUUUGGGAUAUCUCAAAGGUAUGUGGUAAAAAAUUAGGGUUCACGUCUCUAUCUCUUUCCCAUUCGACACCUCUGUCUCAUUUCAAUUUUUCUUUUGGCAACUCUUGAUCCUCCAUCUCUAUCCCGAUAUCAACUCUCGAUCCUCCAUCUCUGUCCCGAUUUCUCAAUCAGACUCGUUACUCCAUCUCUGUCUCGAUCUCUCAAUCACAGUCAUGUUCCUCGCACUUUCAUUCUCGAUCUCAAUCUAUCUCCGUUUCGUUCCCUCUCAAUCGUCAUCUAAAGCGGUAAAUCGAAUUGGUGAGGUCGAAUUUGACACUGAAGUAAGAGCUCGGUGAGACUUCAGUUAAAGGUAUUCGAGUUCAAUUUCGGAUUUUGAUUUUAAGGUUUUGGUAAAUAGUCGAUCUAUUCAGUAUAAUCGGUUCCUAAUUGAUAUAUAUUUGAGUGUUCUUGCAGCUGAAUUUUGUACUUAGAAGAACUAAUAGAUAUGUGGGAUUUCGAUUUUAAAAGUUUCUAAUUCUUUUGUAGAUAGUCUUCAAAUCAUCAAGAUCACCACUUGUUUAUUUUGUAAGCUAUUAUUUUCUUAGUCUUUGUUUGUUUACUUUCUUUCUCGUGUGUGUUGAUGUGAGUAGGCUGUCAUUGUUAUUUGAGUGUUUGAUCCUUUGAACUCUUUAUCACAAAUUGUAUACUCGGUGGUGGAGAUAUGGUUGUAUUGUUGUGAUAUGGACAAGGCAUGUGUUUGAGAGAGCUAGUGUCCUUAAAGGUAUCUCUAACCUCGUGUCUAAAUAUUGUUUGAGAGAGCUGAUGUUAUUUGGUUAUAAAUGCAGGCAAAUAUUGUAAGAACUGAUCGCAUUGAAUCUCUGAUUUUGGUUUCUCAUUGUGAAACAGGGUGAUACAUUCAACAAUUCUCAUUGUAUCACAGACUCAAGGCUCAAUACAUUCAACAAUCUUGGUGAGAUAUUUCACUUCAUGCAAUUUACACUAGGAAAUCUAUCAAAAGGGUUUUGUUAUUUUAUUUUACUCUUGAGAUUAUAGUUGCUAAAUCUGAUGAGUAAGAUUCUUGAAGCGCCAAGCAUGAACUGUUUACCUUUGGAUGUUGGUUUUUGUUUUUCUUUGCAGGAGAGAUGUGAGAAUAUGAUCGAAUAUGUAAAAAGGCUUAGGCUUUGCAUUAGAUAUUUUCAAGAACUCGAGUUAGAUUACGUCUUUGAGCAAGAGAUGGAGGUUCAUGACAAAGUGAAUCAAACGAGAAAAAAUCUUGUUCGUCUUAGAGUUUUUAGGCUAUUAACUCGAUCUGUAACUUUUUAACU